UUUAUGGAGAGUUUGAUCCUGGCUCAGGAUGAACGCUGGCGGCGUGCCUAAUACAUGCAAGUCGAGCGAACAGAUAAGGAGCUUGCUCCUUUGACGUUAGCGGCGGACGGGUGAGUAACACGUGGGUAACCUACCUAUAAGACUGGAAUAACUCCGGGAAACCGGGGCUAAUGCCGGAUAACAUGUUGAACCGCAUGGUUCUACAGUGAAAGAUGGUCUUGCUGUCACUUAUAGAUGGACCCGCGCCGUAUUAGCUAGUUGGUGGGGUAACGGCCUACCAAGGCGACGAUACGUAGCCGACCUGAGAGGGUGAUCGGCCACACUGGAACUGAGACACGGUCCAGACUCCUACGGGAGGCAGCAGUAGGGAAUCUUCCGCAAUGGGCGAAAGCCUGACGGAGCAACGCCGCGUGAGUGAUGAAGGUCUUCGGAUCGUAAAGCUCUGUUGUUAGGGAAGAACAAAUGUGUAAGUAACUGUGCACAUCUUGACGGUACCUAACCAGAAAGCCACGGCUAACUACGUGCCAGCAGCCGCGGUAAUACGUAGGUGGCAAGCGUUAUCCGGAAUUAUUGGGCGUAAAGCGCGCGUAGG
rnacentral:rRNA from 1 species